UGGUGGAGUGAUUUGUCUGGUUAAUUCCGUUAACGAACGAGACCUCGACCUGCUAAAUAGUUCUAUGAAUUCUCCGGGAUUUAUGUGGACUUCUUAGAGGGACUAUCGGUGUGUAGCCGAUGGAAGUUCGAGGCAAUAACA
rnacentral:rRNA from 1 species